ACACCACAGGAGGAGGUUCCAUCUGGUGACGUCAACUUUGAGAACCUGUACGCUAAACCUGACAAAAGCAGACAUACAGAGGUUCAACAUGUUUCAGACAUAUACGCUGUAGUACAGAAACCCAAGAAA